rnacentral:rRNA from 1 species
UACGGAGGGGACUAGCGUUGUUCGGAAUUACUGGGCGUAAAGCGUGCGCAGGCGGUUUUGUAAGUCCGAUGUGAAAUCCCCGGGCUCAACCUGGGAACUGCGUUUGAAACUACAAGGCUAGAGUGUGGCAGAGGGGGGUGGAAUUCCACGUGUAGCAGUGAAAUGCGUAGAGAUGUGGAGGAACACCGAUGGCGAAGGCAGCCCCCUGGGUUAACACUGACGCUCAGGCACGAAAGCGUGGGGAGCAAACAGG